UUGAGUGAUAACCACCAGGGGGCAAUGCUUCCUUCUGAUGUGGUUCCUGGUUGUGUUCAGGUGGUGCUUUGACUCUGGUGCCUCUGUAGCAACAAAAAAAACUGUUGUGCAGAAAGGGGCUCUAAGUUAUGCGUGAGGAGUGUCUCUAAGGGCCUGCUGGGGACUAGCCUUAUUGCAUUCAGUGUAUUCCAGGGAGCAAGGAUCAUUUUCUUCUGCCAGCAUGCUUUCUGCCACCUGUUCCAUUCUUGUGAUCUUAAUACUCAGAGGGACCAGUGGAGACUCAGUGACCCAGACAGAAGGCCCUGUUACCCGCCUUGAGAGGACAAGUAUUAUCCUGAACUGCAAUUACCAGACCACUGAUUCAAGCCCUUUCCUCUUCUGGUAUGUCCAGUAUCUCAAUAAAGGUCCCCAGCUCCUCCUGAAGAGUUCAACAGACAGCCAGAAGGUAGAGAAUGAAGAGUUUUAUGCCAAGCUUGUGAAGAGUAGCAGCUCCUUCCACCUAGAGAAAUCAUCACUCCAAAUGUCAGACUCGGCGGUGUAUUACUGUGCUAUGAGUGACACAGUGGGGGCGGCUGCAGGGGGAGCUGAGCACAAACCCAGAGGGCUGCAGGCACCAAGUUACAUGCUGCUGAAACGGAAGCCUGGCGGUGCUGGGCCCAGUGAAGGCCUCGGACGAGCCACCACUGCUGCCACAGUGGAAUGA